rnacentral:rRNA from 1 species
CCUACGGGGCGCAGCAGUGAGGAAUAUUGGUCAAUGGGCGCGAGCCUGAACCAGCCAAGCCGCGUGAGGGACGACGGUCCCAUGCAUUGUAAACUUCUUUUGUCGGGGGGCAAAAUCCGCCUCGCGAGGCUGUCCGAGGGUACUCGAAGAAAAAGCAUCGGCUAACUCCGUGCCAGCAGCCGCGGCAAUACGGAGGAUGCGAGCGUUAUCCGGAUUUAUUGGGUUUAAAGGGUGCGUAGGCGG